GAAAGGCAUGGUAGCAACUGAUCAGAUACCCUGUUAGUACACACGCCCUAACCGUUGUCAACUAGGUGUUGGGUGAGUUAAAACCAUUAAGUACCGGAGCUAGAGCGGUGAAGUUGGACCGCCUGGGAAGUACGACGCAAGGGUUAAAAAACUUCAAAUGGAAUUGACGGGGAACCCGCAACAGCCGGUGGAAUGAUUGUGAUUUAAAUUCGAUUGCAACGCGAAAAAAUCCUUAACCUUACCCCUUGAACAUGUCCCAGGGAGCCUUGAAAGAGAUUUUGGGUGUGCCCGAAAAGGGAACCUGGAAACACAGGUGCUGCAUGGCUGUCGUCAGCUCGUGUCGUGAGAUGUUGGGUUAAGUCCCGCAACGAGCGCAACCCUUGUCGUUAAUUGCCAUCAUUUAGUUGGGCACUUUAACGAGACUGCCGGUGACAAACCGGAGGAAGGUGGGGAUGACGUCAAGUCCUCAUGGCCCUUAUGGGUAGGGCUUCACACGUCAUACAAUGGUCGGUACAAAGGGUCGCCAACCCGCGAGGGGGAGCCAAUCCCAGAAAGCCGAUCGUAGUCCGGAUCGUAGGCUGCAACUCGCCUGCGUGAAGUCGGAAUCGCUAGUAAUCGUGGAUCAGCAUGUCACGGUGAAUACGUUCCCGGGUCUUGUACACACCGCCCGUCACACCAUGGGAGCGGGUUCCGCCAGAAGUAGGUAGCCUAACCGCAAGGGGGGCGCUUACCACGGCGGGGUUCGUGACUGGGGUGAAGUCGUAACAAGGUAGCCGUAA
rnacentral:rRNA from 1 species